rnacentral:rRNA from 1 species
AGAGUUUGAUCCUGGCUCAGGACGAACGCUUGCGGCGUGCCUGAGAAAUGCAAGUCGAGCGGGGUGUAGCAAUACACCUAGCGGCGAACGGUCGAGUAACACGUAAGCAACCUGCCCUGCAGUGGGGGAUAACAGCGGGAAACUGCUGCUAAUACCGCAUAGGCAUAUUUCUGGGCAUCCAGGGAUGUGUAAAGGCUAGACUGCUGCAGGAGGGGCUUGCGGCCUAUUAGCUAGUCGGUGGGGUAACGGCCUACCGAGGCGACGAUGGGUAGCUGGUCUGAGAGGAUGGUCAGCCGGAUCGGGACUGAGACACGGCCCGGACUCCUACGGGGGGCAGCAAUCAGGAAUAUUGCGCAAUGGGGGAAACCCUGACGCAGCGACGCCGCGUGCGGGAUGAAGGCCUUCGGGUCGUAAACCGCUGUUGUGGGAGACGAAUGACUGUCGAUGAGGCAGUGGAGACGGUAUCUCACGAGGAAGCCCCGGCUAACUACGUGCCAGCAGCCGCGGUAAUACGUAGGGGGCGAGCGUUGUCCGAAGUUACUGGGCGUAAAGCGCGCGUAGGCGGCUCUUUAAGUGACUGGUGAAAUCCCCGGGCUCAACCCGGGGUAGUCUGGUCAUACUGGGGAGCUAGAGUGUGGGAGGGGAGAGCGGAACUCCUGGUGUAGCGGUGAUAUGCGUAGAGAUCAGGAAGAACACCCGUGGCGAAGGCGGCUCUCUGGACCAUAACUGACGCUGAGGUGCGAAAGCCAGGGGAGCGAACGGGAUUAGAUACCCCGGUAGUCCUGGCCCUAAACGAUGGAUACUAGGUGUGGCGGGUAUCGACCCCUGCCGCGCCGCAGCUAACGCAAUAAGUAUCCCGCCUGGGGAGUACGGCCGCAAGGUUGAAACUCAAAUGAAUUGACGG